UACAGAGGGGGCGAGCGUUGUUCGGAAUUACUGGGCGUAAAGGGCGCGUAGGUGGCCUGUUAAGUCGAACGUGAAAUCCCCGGGCUCAACCCGGGAACUGCGUCCGAGACUGGCAGGCUCGAAUCCGGGAGAGGGAUGUGGAAUUCCAGGUGUAGCGGUGAAAUGCGUAGAUAUCUGGAGGAACACCGGUGGCGAAGGCGGCAUCCUGGACCGGUAUUGACGCUGAGGCGCGAAAGCCAGGGGAGCAAACGGG
rnacentral:rRNA from 1 species